UACGAAGGGUGCAAGCGUUACUCGGAAUUACUGGGCGUAAAGGGUGCGUAGGUGGUUGUUUAAGUCUGUUGUGAAAGCCCCGGGCUCAACCUGGGAAUGGCAAUGGAUACUGGACAGCUAGAGUGCGGUAGAGGGUAGUGGAAUUCCCGGUGUAGUAGUGAAAUGCGUAGAGAUCGGGAGGAACACCAGUGGCGAAGGCGGCUACCUGGACCAGCACUGACACUGAAGCACGAAAGCGUGGGGAGCAAACAGG
rnacentral:rRNA from 1 species